CCUACGGGGGGCAGCAGUGAGGAAUAUUGGUCAAUGGACGAGAGUCUGAACCAGCCAAGUAGCGUGAAGGAUGACUGCCCUAUGGGUUGUAAACUUCUUUUAUAUGGGAAUAAAACGUUCCACGUGUGGCAUUUUGUAUGUACCAUAUGAAUAAGCAUCGGCUAACUCCGUGCCAGCAGCCGCGGUAAUACGGAGGAUCCGAGCGUUAUCCGGAUUUAUUGGGUUUAAAGGGAGCGUAGGUGGAUUGUUAAGUCAGUUGUGAAAGUGUGCGGCUCAACCGUAGAAUUGCAGUUGAAACUGGCAGUCUUGAGUACAGUCGAGGUAGGCGGAAUUCGUGGUGUAGCGGUGAAAUGCUUAGAUAUAACGAAGAACUCCGAUUGCGAAGGCAGUUCACUGGACUGCAACUGACACUGAGGCUCGAAAGUGUGGGUAUCAAACAGGAUUAGAUACCCGAGUAGUC
rnacentral:rRNA from 1 species